rnacentral:pre_miRNA from 12 species
UGUAGAUUCAAAUUUGUGACUGUAAAUUACACACAGAUUUGAAUCUAU